rnacentral:rRNA from 1 species
AUUGAACGCUGGCGGCGUGCCUAAUACAUGCAAGUCGAACGCAGUGGGGACGGGUGAGUAACACGUGGGUAACCUCCCAUCAGAGGGGAUAACACUUGGAAACAGGUGCUAAACCGAUACUGAUGGAUGGACCCUCGGUGCAUUAGCUAGUUGGUGAGGUAACGGCUCACCAAGGCCACGAUGCAUAGCCGACCUGAGAGGGUGAUCGGCCACACGGGGACUGAGACAGGGCCCAGACUCUUACGGGAGGAAGCAGUAGGGAAUCUUGGGCAAUGGACGAAAGGCUGACCGAGCAACGCGGCGUGAGUGAAGAAGGUGUGCGGAUCGUAAAACUCUGUUGGUAGAGAAGCGGUAUCUAAACAGAAAGCCACGGCUAACUACGUGCCAGCCGCCGCGGUAAUUC